AACAGCCUCUGAAGUCUGUUGAUCACUAUUUUUACUUGAAAAAAUGAUUGAAUAACUGUGGUUAUUCAGACUAGGAGAUCUGGAAGGAAUUUUCCAUGUAUUGCAGGAGUGGCAGUAAAAAAAAAAAAAAAAAAAAAAAAAAAAAAAAAGUUACAGGAGAGUGAUUCUGAGAAUAUUGAGACAGAAGCCAAAUGUGAGGAUGAGAUAACAGAGGAGGAAAUGCAGAGGAUGCAAUAGUGAUCCUGAGAUAUCCUCCUGGGGUGACACUCGGCCUCUGAUUGGCCAAUGACCCCACACAGGAUAAAACAAGGGACCUUGAACCACCUUGGUAACACUCCGAGCUCUACUCUCCUCAGGAGCCCCGAGAGUGGCUCAGUGGUCCCAGCACGGAGCAGAUGCCCCAAGGGACUACAUGGCGUGGAGAGACUAAUACCUUAAACCAUGAGAGUCUGAAAUGGAACAGCUACCAGAGUCGGCAGUCACAGGGCUCCGCGAAGAAGCAGCCUAGGACCUAUCACAGAGAAGAUGGCCUUGGUGUCCUGACCACUCUCCAGCCAUCGAAGCAGUGGACCGGCCCCAGGGCGCGGGCUCCUUGGGCAAACAGUGCCCAGGAUAUUUUGGUGAGCACCGUAAGUUAUUCGUGAUGACAUCAACCUCCUACAGUUUUCUCCUUCAUGUCCCUAGAAUAUUGUUGCUAGUGCAUUAUGGGUCUACACUCUAAAACCAUCCCAAACAUGCUCAAUCCUUCAUACUACUGAUAUAGUUCAUGGGUUCAAACUUCAAGGGCUUUCUACGGGACUGCCGACCCUCCUCUGCGUCUGUGCCCCCGCUUAGCUCCUCAGACAUCACUCGCUUCUGGUUUCUUCCUCUGCACCCUUUCCUUUUCUCUGUAUCCCUUGGUCCUUUUAUUAAUUACACGUUUCAUUUUGUUUUAUUGGGGUUUAGUUGGCUUACAAUGUUAUAUUCGUUUUAGGUGUUCAGCAAAGUGAAUCAGGCACACGUAUUCAUACAUCCAUUCUUUUUCCCCCUCUAGGUUAUUACACACUAUUGGGUAGGUUCUCCUGUGCUCUGUGGUAGCUUCUCGUCAAUCAUCUAUUUUAUAUAGUGGCGUGUCCAUGUCACUGUCACCCUCCCGAUUCUUCCCUCCCCACAACGGUUUCCCCUAUGGCGACCAUAAGACUGGUUUUGAAAUCUAGGAGUCUGUUUCUGUUUUAUAAAAAAGCUCUGUUGUAUCAUUCUUUAUUCAAGUCCACAUAGAGGUGCUAUCAUAUGAUACUUAGCUGACUUACUCCACCGAGGUCAGUGGGCCUGCCACCUGGACACAGGUAUGGAGGCAGACCAGAUGCCUCCACACACCUUGCCAUCUUCCGUCAUCCUCUCCCCUGUACCCUGAACUGCUUUUCAUGUACUAACCGUACUGAGCGUUCCACCCUCGGCGUGGACACGCUCCCCCAAGCCUCUGGCCCUUCUUCAAGUGGUUUCUCUGCAUUGGGUGCCAUCCUCCUUGGUAACGUCUACCAGGUCUUCAAGGGUCAACUGUCCCCCGAGGGCUAGAGUUCCAAUCACACUGUCCCGUCAGUGGUUGUGACCUCGGGGUCCUUGCAGGCAGAGACUGGCUCUCCCCACCUGCUUCCACCUCGCAUUUUGCUCAGAGCCUGAGGGAGAGAGGACACAAGCGAACCAGCUGGUUAGAUGCGGAGACGAUUGAGUGAGUGAGCC
rnacentral:lncRNA from 1 species